AGGUCAGGAGUUCAAGACCAGCUUGGCCAACAUGGUGAAACCCCAUCUCUACUAAAAAUACACACACACACAUACACACACACACGAGCCAGUCGUGGGGGCACAGGCCUGUAAGCCUGGUUACACAGGAGGCUGAGGUAGGAGUAUCACUUGAAGGAGUAAAGGAGACUUUCAGUUCAAAGAGUUGGCUACAUUUAAUUGGCCAAAACUCAAUGAUUGGCAGAAAUGUAGGCUAUGGUCUGUUUACAACUCCACUUGUUAUAGUUCAUAAUGUACAGGAAAAUCUUUGGGCUGAAUUUAAGAGAUGUACAGAGGCAGCUUUAGGCUAAACUUGAUUUAACAAUCUAUGUCACCUGCCCUGUUCCCCACACAUUGGAGGGGUCUAAUAUUGAUAGCUUUACUCUCUUUUCUGAUAUUUGCUAGCACUGAGACUUCUGAAUUGUAUAUUUAGGCAACUUUAUUUUGUUUAAAAAUUUCCCUAAUGAUUUUUAAUAGACAAAUGUUAUUUUAGCCCCCAGAUGAAACCUUAGGGGUUGGAACACUCUUCUCCAUGUUUGUACCUCUAAUCAUCAGUGAAGACAUGUGGACACAUGGAGAGUCCUAUAUUGUUACCUGCAUCAGUGAAUGGGCACUGGUUCAUUCAGCUUUCAAAUUACCUGUCACUUUAACAGACAUUACAAGAGUUCUGGCUUUAGCCAUGGCAAUUUACAUUGUUUCGUCUAUGUGGAGUUAUUCCAAAAUUGUUUGGUCUUUUCAAAAAAAAGAACGGUAACUGGAUGAAUUUCAGUUAUUCCAAGCUGCUUUUCCUAGUAAAUGUUUAUUUCUUUAAUAAAUCAGAACUUAUUGUAGCUAACUGCUUUGUGCUUUCAUAUACCACCCUCACCCCAAGAAUUUUGAAAGUUUUUAGCAAAUAGUAACGUAUUUGCUUCCCUUAGUAAGUUAAAAGGAUAAAUAUUGAUACUUUCAUAUUACAUUAUGAGGGCAGCAGCAGCCUGUCUGGAGCGGCCACUGAGAAGACGCCAGCUGCAGCGGGCGAGGCACAGCUGGGGUUGCGCACUCCACAGAGCCAGUUGGAGCCAGGAACAGGCAGGAGCCCAGCGCUUUUCAGAGUUGGAGGGUUGGAGGCCUCCUCCUCCUGGGUGCAACUGUGCAGCCACCCAGCAGUGACCUGGGUUUCCCUGUGCUCUCAGGGGCUGAGAAGUGUCCCUCCCCAGCCAUGGCCCCCACAGGCUCAGAAAUGCGUGUCCCCACUGUCUGGCCUCUCUCUGCUCCCGGUCCCCACUCUGAUUUUAGAGCAAAGUUGAGGCUGAGCCUGGGCGCUGUCACGUCCCAGCUGGAUGUGCAUGCGCUUAGGGUGGUGCUGACAGGCCAGCCCCUGCCGCCUCAGCCCCCCUCUGUACUUUGGGAGCACAUGAGUAUGGGAGGGAGGCUGAGUGGGCGCUGAGGUGGCUCCAUGUGGGCCUGCAGGCUCUGUGGACGGCACGAUCAAUGGCGGCAGUAAGCAGACAAGCUCCUGGGCAGAAAGGGGCAGGUUCCCCAUGAAACCUCACCUUCAAGCCAAGAACGGCCUGAAGCGUGGAGGCCAGGCUGUCAGUCCGUGGCAUACAGUGAGAACUCAUGGUGCUUUUUCCAGAUGCACUCAUGGCUGCCCAUGGACCAAUCCGCACACACUUCCUCCCAUCUGAAGCCCAUGAAAACCCCAGGCUCAACCAGACUCACAGAGACCUCAGAGACCUCUGUGGGAAAGAACUACGCAAUUCGGGUGCCCUUGUCUUGUCAGGACAACCUGCCUGCAGAAAGCAGCUACUCACUUGGGCUCUUCUGAGAGCUGUUCUGUCUCUCAAUGAAGCUGUUCUGUCUCCUCUCCACCUUAGUCACCCUCAAAUUAUCCAUGAACCUCAUUUUUCCUGGAUGUGGACAAGAACUUAGGACCUGCUAAAUGGUGGAACUGAAAGACCUGCAACACAAACAGGGCGGAAACACGCACCUCCGCAGCUUGCCAUGUUAUGGGUGAUGAGAAGGAGAGAAGAACUGCAGCCCUUCAAGGAGCCCAGACCUAGGGGCUCCCCAAGCCAGGGCUGUGACACCCUCUUUGAGGCUCUUUGGUUCCUAGUGUCUCCAAGCUUCCCAGUGCUACUGUGUUCCCUUUAUCCAGAUGCAGGUGCCUGCAGCUGAAGCCGUGUGUGGUACAUUUGGUCCAGUCACAGCCUUGCAUGGAGCUGGCACUUGUGCUGGUGCCUGGAGCUGUCUGCCUUGCCACAGCAGCUAGCAUACCUGACUGUGCACAGUGGCCGGACUCCAUGCUCAUUGGCUCAUACACUCUUUGCCACUCCGUGCCUGGCACCCCCUUGGCAGGUGUGAGAUCCAGGCCAGUAGUGUGAGCCAAGCGCAGCCUGCCAGGCCAAGUGGGCGGAACGAGCCCAGUGGGCGCGAGCAAUACUCAGGCAGAAGGUGCCGCCUGCCACAGAGGUUUCUGGCUGGCAAAUCGACAUCCCAAGGAUCCCGUGACAAUUAUAGCGCCUGCUUCUGGAUAAGGAGUAAAGAAAAGGGGGAAAAAAAAAAAAAAAAAAAAUCGAAUAACCCAACCCCCAGGCAUUGCUAGUGUUAACUUAUUGCCAAAUUAUUUCUGAUGUGUGUGUAUAUCAUAUGUAUAUUUAACAGUUUUAUAUCUUAGUUCUUUGCUAAAUGCACUUUCAGCCAAAAAAAAAAAAAAAAGACCACACUGUAUAUGCUACUUUACAACUUUUUUACUUCUUUUAAAUAUAUAGUGACUGACACCUAUUAUUUUAUAAUAUGGACAAACUGUAAUUUGCUCAACCAUUUAUUAAUAAGCAUUUGUAUUAUUUAUCAUCAUUUGUUAUUAGAAGCAGUAUUGUAUUGAACAUCCUUAGACUUACAGCUCUGUACUCAUAGGCAAAUAUUUCAGUAAAGCAAAUUUGUAAGAGUGAAAUCAUAAGGUGAAAGAAUAGGCUUAUUUUAAUAUUAAAAUAUUUCAUAUAUUACCCUUCAAUAAAGCUUUAACAAUAUAUAUUCCCAACGAAAUUCUGUUAAAGUUGUUAUUUCUAACCAUUUCUCAGAACACUAGAUAGUAUUAACAUGCUUUUAAUAUUGUUGUUGAAUGAAAAAGUCUUCAUAUUUUAAUUUACAUAUCUUCCUUAUAACUGAGGUUGGGAUUUGCAGUUUCUUUACUACCAAAUUUCUGUUCAUGUUCUUUGCUUUUUUAAGUUACCAUUUUCUAAUAUGUUCUUUACUUUUUAGUUUGCAGAACUCUUCACAUUUACGAACUUUUUGGCUACUAUAACUUUGAUAAGUAUUUUCUUUCAGUUUAUUAUUUGUAUUUUGGCUUGUUUUUUGCUGCCUUUUGUUUGAAAAUUUUAACUUUCUUAUAGACAAAUAUGUAAAUUUUAUUUCUUUUUGGCUUCUGAUUUUUAAGUUAUGUUUCAGAAGAUCUUCUGUACCAUCAAGCUUACAAAAAUAUCUUCAAAUUUUUUUUGAAAAUCUUUAUUGUCUUAUGUACAUUUAGACCACUAAGUUACUUGAAAUUUAUUUUGAAUAUAAUGUAAAGAGGGUCUCUAACUUUAUGUAUUAACAAAUAGAUAAUCAUAUGUAUCUAAAACAUUUAUUGAUUAUCUUUUGCACUCUAAAGUAGAAUGUUGUUUAUCGUAUACUGAGUUCUAAUACACACUCGAAUCUAUUUUUAAUCUUUGUUUCACUGUUAGUUUUUACCAUACUAGUUUAGUUAAGAUAGCAUUUAAGUAAGAUUUAAUAUCUGAAUAGAUAAAACCUUCUUAUUAGCCAACUUUUACAGAAUAUCUCUGCAGUUACCAAACAAUUAUUCUUCUAAUGAAUUUUAGAAUGAUUUUCUCCAACAUUUUUUGCAAUUCUAAUUAAAAUUGUAUUAACUUUAUAUAUUAAAUUGAGAUGAUAGGCAUUUUAAUUAUAUUAAGUAAUCCUAUAUAAGAACAUGAUAUAUGUUGACAUCUUUUGUGUCUUUCAAUAAAGUUGUGUCAUUUAUUUAGAAGAACUAAAUUUCCCAAAUUGUAUCAAAGUGGUUUGGUCUAAAUUACAACCCCCAUUAGCAUCUGUUAAUAUAUAAAGCUGCAUUUGGCUAUUGUGUCUAACAUUUCAUCUAGGAAAGCCAGAUUCCAACAACACUUCUCUAUGGUAACAGUUCUGGUCAGAGCCUGAGGCCAAAUGUCAAUAGUAUUGCGCAUUCUGAAUUGAAGCAUCAAUAUGAAGAAAUUUGUUUGUUGUCCUCUGUGUUAAAUAAAUUUGCUAGCAUUCCCCAUGUACUCAAAUAUACACAAAUGCAGUGCUAUCAUGGUAUGAUGAGUGUAUGUAUCUGUGUUCUUGUGAGACACAAUGGAAAAUUUAUCUACAAUUAUAGAAUACAUUUAAUUUAAAAGUGCUUCUCAGUGGUCAUUCAUUCACAACUAAACAUGGAUCUAAUCUGCCUGAGACAGAAUAACAUUUAAUAUUGCACAUAUAUAAAUAUGGUAGUGAUUUUUAAAAUAAUAAAUUAAUAGAGAUGAAUGAGGAUUAUUUUGCCAAUCAGUGGAAUAUUUUACUAUCUGAUUUUUCUUAUUUAUCUACUUCCUGAUGUAUGAUUUGUUUUGACAGAAUUCACUUCCCCCUUAGAAGGAAUAACUUUAGUCCCUCUGCAGACAUUUUGAGAAACCUGAAUUUAUGUCACCCGAGAGACCUGAAAAUACAUUAGGAAAGCCUAAAACAAAACUUGGAAAAAGGUAUUUGCAGAAAGGACAGAAUUCCAAGGGGAGUAGGUUCAUGAAACUUAAGCCAGUAUGGAGAGGGUUAUAAUAGGAAUAGAGACAACAGAGCACUUACAAAUGUCUUAGAUGAUUUUCUCUCUGCUAACAAGCAGUACUAUUUUUUCUACACGUUUAAAGGAAGAUGAUGGCUAUAUAGACAACAUGCAAUGAAGAGUCAAGGCAAUUAUUCAUUUUGUUUGGGCUUCAGGAAUGUGCUGCAGAGGGAAAAAGUUGCUUUGGAGGCCUGCAUUUAUGCAAAUCUCUAGUCUUUGCCGAUUGAAUUCUGAGGAAAAAAGUUACACAGUUUUCUACUUGGUCUGUGUUUUAAUUGUUACUCUAGCAGUAAUUAGAUACAAAAACAGUUUUGCUGCCGUUUACCUUGAGGUUGUUUAACAAAGGUUGUCAUGUUUAAAAUAUUUUAAAUAAGUAAAAUGUGCGUCAGAUACAUUUCCCACCCUAUAACUAGCUCCUGGUUCUUGGGUUGCUUGGCCUAGUUUCUAAUGCUGAGGAAGAGCUUCAUCACUGUAAUCCUGCAUCUCCUUUUAUAAAUGCCUUAACUUUGUGUGUCUACUUUUCAGUAACUGUCUCAUAUUUGGUCUUCCCAUCAACCCCCUGAAAUUAAUGGGGACAGUUUAAUUAUCAUCCACUUUUAAAUGCAGAAACAAAGACAUGGUAAAGAUCCAGAAUCUUAGAACAGUGUAUAUAUACAUAUUUUGUCACCUCAGGAUUUGACAAAUUCUCGGGUUAUCUUAAUUUAACCAAGACAGUGGGAUAGCCAAAAGGGUAUGAGUGUUGAUACCUUAAUCUUGGCUUUAUUAUAUUACCAAACUCCAUAAACUUCAAUUUUAUGUUUGUAAAGUGGGCAUAAUAAUUCUUAACAUGCAAGAGUUUAGUGAGGAUAUCAAAUAAUAUAAAUGAAGCACUUAGCAAUCUAUAUGUUGACGCUAAGUUACUAGUGUUUUAAAAUAUAUCUCUAUCGUAUAUAUUAUAUAGAACAUCCUCUGAUACAUAGAAUAUAGUAUAUAGAUAUAUAGGUACAGUAUACCUUUAUUACAUAGUUUUAUAAUUGAUUUUUCUCUUUUCCACUGAAAUCUUCUGUGAGUUUCUUGAGAGUAGAAAACUAUAUUCUGUCUGUGUAUUUAUUUAAUCUCUCUAUUAUCUUGUGCUUUAAAUAUUUAUAUUAAUGAAUUCAAAAUGGGUCAAAAUCUUAAUACAAGAAGAUAAGUAGACAAAGUUAUUAGUUUUUUUGGCAUUUUGCAAUUGUGCACCAAAAUGGCUUGUUUUUGUUUCCCUGGAUAGAUUCUGUUACACAAAUUUUAAGUUGGUAAUAACUGUUACUUAGGUCUAAAAUAAGAAAAUGUUAGAGGUUGCAAAUUGAAUUUUACAUUUUGCUUUCCCAUUUCACUUUACUCUGACAAUAAUAAUCCCCAUUAAAACUGUAAGAAAAAGCCUAAGGACAUACAUAAAUCUGAGAGCUCCAGUUUUACUGUUUUUUAUUUUUAACUCAUUCUAAGAUUUUUAAGGACUAAUACAAAUAAAGCAUCCUUCUUGUUUUUAGAAUCUUCCAGGCUUAUAUUAAGCCUUCAGGUUUACUGAUAAGUGAGAGAAAAAAAUUCCUAACUUUUCAUUUUUUUAGUGUCGACGUUGUUUAGCUCUGCUUCUUGGUUUUCUUUAAAUUUGAUACCUAUGUGUUUAAUGACAAUUAUAUAACUCUAAGAGCACUACGUUCAUUAUUAAGUGGAAUCAAUCCUUGCAAGUCUUAUAAGUUGGGCAAGAGUUUUUUCCCUUGGAGGAUAUGUCAUUAAGGUUUUAUAUUCUCAGAUGCAAUGAAUGUUACUAAUACUUGCAUUUGGAGAAAAAUAAGUAGUAAGGUAAAUGGUAUGCAUUGCACCUGGUUCUUAUGGAUGGAUUAAAGUAUUGGUUGGGAAAAUAGCUUUUAAGUUUCAACUUGUUCGGGUACAUAUCAAGUUUUCCUCCAAGGGGGUGAAUAUUAAUAAUGAGGAGGAAGAAAAGAGAAUUACAACAAUGAUGACAAUGACAUAAGCAAUACUUCUGAAAACAUUAUUAUUAAAGAUAUUUUCAAUUCUUAUUUUACAGACAAAGAAAAUGUGGCUCAAAGCAGUUGAGUAACUUAUCGGUAACUAGUACACAGUAUAGCUUGCAUCCAAACCCUAGUCUUUGCUUUUGUGACAAAGCAUCCUCCUUAUGUUUUAUAGUUCCUAGUUUAUGUUUGUAGGUAAUCCAGAGUAACAUAUAUAUAUAUAAAAUUCCUUUACCAUUUUAAAAUAGUUUCUUUGUAUUUGUGGUUAUAUUCUUUUCCUUAGUCCCAACGUAUAUAUUAUUUUUGUCUUCAUUAGAUCUGUGAGAAGUUCAUCUAUUUCAUUGUCUCUUUUAAGAACCAAGUGUUCUGUUUCUUACUAGUUUUUGUGCUGUAAUUAUUUUCUAAUUUUCUUUUUACUGUUUCAUUCUAUUUUUAUUUUGAUUGCAUUUUUUUCUAAUAUCUUGAUAUAUAGACUCACCUUAUUUUUAUUCUUUCAGAAAUAACCAUAGUGCUUUAAGUCUAGUAAUUAGUCUCUGAAUAUGUUUGAAAGUGUCCCAUAAAUGUAAUAUAUUACAUUCUUAUUUUAUGACUAAGUGGUCGAUUUUAUUUCCUUUUUAUGCAAUUUUUGAAAGGCUAGGAUGUACUUAGUUUUAUUCCAACACAUUAGUUUUAGGCUAGUUUUAGUUUCUAGCUUUAAAUCACUGUGGUCAGAGAAUUUUGCCUUUAAUAUAUACCUACUUUUUGUGACAUAAUAAAUGAUAAAAUUUUGUAUAGUUCCAUGAUGUGUUAAAAGAAGGCAUAUUUUCUUUUUGUGAAGAGAAAAAGACUGAGCAGUUGUGGCCGCAAUACCCACCUCGAACAGCAGUCGGGUUCUCCACCUAGAACCCAGGAGUAUGAGACUCAGAAUCAGAUCUCUUCUCCCUCCCCACUCCUAUGAGAUUUUUUUGGAUCUUCAGCUACAUUUUCGGCUUUCUGAGAAACCCUAUCAUCAAACACAAUGGCCAGCAACGUUACCAACAAGAUAGAUCCUCGUUCCAUGAACAGCCGUGUAUUCACUGGGAAUCUCAACACUCUUGUGGUCAAGAAAUCUGAUGUGGAGGCAAUCUUUCCGAAGUAUGGCAAAAUUGUGGGCUGCUCUGUUCAUAAGGGCUUUGCUUCGUUCAAUAUGUUAAUGAGAGAAAUGCCCAGGCUGCUGUAGCAGGAGAGGAUGGCAGAAUGAUUGCUGGUCAGGUUUUAGAUAUUAACCUGACUGCAGCACCAAAACUGAACGGAGGAAAAGCAGGCGUGAAACAAUCUGCAGCGAUGCAGCGCUCUUCUUUUGACCUGGACUAUGAUUUUCAGCGGGAUUAUUGUAAUACGAGGUACAGUUACUCAGCACGUGUACCUCCUCCUCCUCCUAUUGCUGGAGGUGUAGUGCCCUUGAAACAUCCGUGUGUAUCAGGAAACACCUCAAGAAGGGAAAAAAGUGGCUUCAAUUCUAAGAGUGGACAGCGGGUAUCUUCCAAGUCUGGAAAGUUGAAAGGAGAUGACCUUCAGGCAGUUAAGAAGGAAUUGGCCUAGAUAAAACAAAAAAUGGAUUAUCUCCUGGAAAACCUGGAAAAAAUUGAAAAGGAACAGAGCAAACAAGCAGUAGAGAUGAAAAACAAGUCAGAAGCGGAGCAGAGCAGCAGCUCCUUGAAGAAAGAUGAGACUAAUUUGAAGUUGGAGUCUGAGGGGGGUGCAGAUAACCCUGCUGAGGAGGGGGACCUACUGGAUGAUGAUGAUAAUGAAGACUGGGGGGAUGACCAGCUGGAGUUGAUCAAGGAUGAAGACAAAGAGGCUGAGGAAGGAGAGGAUGACGGAGACAGCGCCAAUGGUGAGGAUGACUCUGAAGCACAUAGUGGGGUUUAGAAAUCUUAUACCAUUAUUUCUUUACCUAGGCACUUGUCUAAGAUCAAAUUUUUCACCAGAUCUUCUUGAGAGCUGACAGCGUGCUGGCAGCCCUUGCUGGCUCUUGGUGCCUCUUCCGCCUUGGCGUCUGCUCUGGCCUCACUUGAGGAGCCUUCAGCCGGCUGCUGCACUGUGGGAGCCCCUGUCUGGGCUGCCCGAGGCAGAGCUGGCUCCCUCUGCUUGCUGGGAGGUGUGGAGGCAGAGGCGUGGGCGGGAACUGGGGCUGCCGGCUGCACUCGCUGGCCAGCGUGAGUGAGUGAGUUCGGGUGGGCAUGGACUUGGCGGGCCCUGCACUCAGAGCAGCGGUGGGCACCGCUGGCCUGGGAAGUGAGGGGCUUAGCACCGGGGCCAGCAGCUGCCUAGGGUGCACGGGGUCCCUGAGCACUACUGACCCGCCCACACCUUACUCUCACUGGGCCUCAGCUGCCUCCCCAUGGGGCUGGUCUCAGGACCUGCAGCCAGCUAUGCCUGAGGCUCCUGAGUCAGGUGGGGACUUGGAGAACUUUUAUAUCUAGCUGGAGGAUUGUAAAUGCACCAAUCAGCACUCUGUGCCUAGCUCGAGGUUUAUGGAUGCAUCAAUCAGCACUGUGUAUCUAGCUAAUCUGGUGGGGACUCCUACAGCAUUUAUGUCUAGCUGGAGGAUUUUAAAUGUACCAAUCAGCACUUUGUGUCUAG